rnacentral:rRNA from 1 species
GGAUGAACGCUGGCGGCGUGCUUAACACAUGCAAGUCGAACGGUGAAGGAGAGCUUGCUCUUUGGAUCAGUGGCGAACGGGUGAGUAACACGUGAGCAAUCUGCCCCUGACUCUGGGAUAAGCGUUGGAAACGACGUCUAAUACUGGAUACGAGCUGCGACCGCAUGGUCAGCAGUUGGAAAGAAUUUCGGUCAGGGAUGAGCUCGCGGCCUAUCAGCUUGUUGGUGAGGUAAUGGCUCACCAAGGCGUCGACGGGUAGCCGGCCUUAGAGGGUGACCGGCCACACUGGGACUGAGACACGGCCCAGACUCCUACGGGAUGCAGCAGUGGGGAAUAUUGCACAAUGGGCGCAAGCCUGAUGCAGCAACGCCGCGUGAGGGACGACGGCCUUCGGGUCGUAAACCUCUUUUAGCAAGGAAGAAGCGAAAGUGACGGUACUUGCAGAAAAAGCGCCGGCUAACUACGUGCCGGUAGCCGCGGUAAUACGUAGGGCGCAAGCGUUAUCCGGAAUUAUUGGGCGUAAAGAGCUCGUAGGCGGUUUGUCGCGUCUGCUGUGAAAUCCCGAGGCUCAACCUCGGGUCUGCAGUGGGUACGGGCAGACUAGAGUGCGGUAGGGGAGAUUGGAAUUCCUGGUGUAGCGGUGGAAUGCGCAGAUAUCAGGAGGAACACCGAUGGCGAAGGCAGAUCUCUGGGCCGUAACUGACGCUGAGGAGCGAAAGGGUGGGGAGCAAACAGGCUUAGAUACCCUGGUAGUCCACCCCGUAAACGUUGGGAACUAGUUGUGGGGUCCAUUCCACGGAUUCCGUGACGCAGCUAACGCAUUAAGUUCCCCGCCUGGGGAGUACGGCCGCAAGGCUAAAACUCAAAGGAAUUGACGG